rnacentral:tRNA from 1 species
UGUGUCAGUAGCUCAGUUGGAUAGAGCAACGGCCUUCUAAGCCGUGGGUCGGGGGUUCGAAUCCCUUCUGACACGU